rnacentral:lncRNA from 1 species
GACUGAGGUCGAUAGUUGAUAUCGAAUUUUAUGAGCUCAACUGUCCAUUUCGCUAUCCUUCCGGAAGCAUCCGCUCGAUGCAAAACCGCCUUAAUCUGCUGGUCGAUGAGCAGUGUUAUGGUGUGCCCUUGAAAGUAAGGUUGGAGUCUUCGAGCUGCAAUCAACAAGACGUAAGUUAGUUUCUCUAACUUAGUAUACCUAGUUUCGACAUCUCUCUAUACUUGGCUUAUGUUGU